rnacentral:rRNA from 1 species
UACGGAGGGUGCAAGCGUUAUCCGGAUUUAUUGGGUUUAAGGGUCCCUAGGCGGGUCUGGAAGGUAGGGGGGAAAUCUCACAGCUUAACUGUGAAACUGCCAUUGAUACUGCAGGUCUUGAGUGUUAUUGAAGUAGCUGGAAUAAGUAGUGUAGCGGUGAAAUGCAUAGAUAUUACUUAGAACACCAAUUGCGAAGGCAGGUUACUAAGCAACAACUGACGCUGAUGGACGAAAGCGUGGGGAGCGAACAGG